AUUUAUUUUUUUGAAAGUUAGGCUUGACAAUGGGAUUAUCAGCAAAGAAAUCUAAAAAGAUGUGAAAAAGUGACAAUGUUUCGGAUGACUACUGUGAUAUGGAGCUUGAAGAGAUGGAGAAGGAACAAGGAGAAGAGGAAGAAGAUAGAAAGGAAGGAACAAUUGAGGAAGACCAAAGUGGAUGGAAUAAUGAUGAGAUAGAACAACUUGAGUUACAAAUGUCCCAAAUCAGUGUCACUGCUGAGUCUCAUGGUCGUAAGAAAGCCCUUCUCAUUGGAGGUUUCAUUGCAGACGUCCUUUUUUCUCUGGAAUCUCGUAGUGUGAUUCCUUCAAACCAUCCGGUUGCGAAUUUCAGGGAGAAUCAUACUUCGAGUUUCCAGAGAAAGAUGGAUGUCUUGAUGUGCCUAUGGAUAAGUUUGCUGAAGAAAGGGAAGAAAAAAUCAGACAAGAUAUCUUACGGGCAUGGCGCAUGAUUAACCUUAACCUUUACAACCCUAAGUGUAAAGCUGUGCUGGUAAUUAAAUUAAUUUCUCAUCAGUUAUUUGUUGUAACUAUGUUCACAUGGAGAGAUAUCAUCCUACCUAUGUUGUUUUAUUGCUAAAUUGUCUAAUCAUGAGCUACAUGAAUUAGAAAUGUACUUUGAGGGUUAUCCAAAACCUUCUAAAUGGAAAUUUGCUGAAGUUCUAUUAUCAA